GAUGAACGCUGGCGGCGUGCCUAAUACAUGCAAGUCGAGCGAACAGACGAGGAGCUUGCUCCUCUGACGUCAGCGGCGGACGGGUGAGUAACACGUGGAUAACCUACCUAUAAGACUGGGAUAACUUCGGGAAACCGGAGCUAAUACCGGAUAAUAUAUUGAACCGCAUGGUUCAAUAGUGAAAGACGGUUUUGCUGUCACUUAUAGAUGGAUCCGCGCCGCAUUAGCUAGUUGGUAAGGUAACGGCUUACCAAGGCAACGAUGCGUAGCCGACCUGAGAGGGUGAUCGGCCACACUGGAACUGAGACACGGUCCAGACUCCUACGGGAGGCAGCAGUAGGGAAUCUUCCGCAAUGGGCGAAAGCCUGACGGAGCAACGCCGCGUGAGUGAUGAAGGUCUUCGGAUCGUAAAACUCUGUUAUUAGGGAAGAACAAAUGUGUAAGUAACUAUGCACGUCUUGACGGUACCUAAUCAGAAAGCCACGGCUAACUACGUG
rnacentral:rRNA from 1 species